AAGCUGCUAAAACUCAACUACUGUAGAUAAAAUAAUUAUUUUGCAGAACCGAGCAGUUCGCCUCAUAAACUCCGUCCCUUUCCAAUCACACGCUGGAUAGCUUUUAACACUGAAGCAAGAAUUUCGCCAGUUAGCGUGCUUUAUCUCAAUCUUAAUCUCUAGCCUCUGAAAUUAGAUAAAGCUCUGCCUGAUGUCAACCUUGGCGAAAAAGUAACACCAUUCAUCAUAAUUUUUGCCGUUCAAUAACAAAAUAUAUGUUUAGUAAUUGGGAGAAAAUAGAGUUAUCGAACAUCAAUGUUAUACUUAUAUAAGGGAAUUUUCUUUGAGCUAUAGAUUAACACAACUGAUUAUUUUUCUUUUUUUAUAGAGCAGCUUUCCUCGGAUAUUUGAAAGACAUUUUUCCGGGAAAAAAAGUUUCUCCUUUAAUUAGGAAGAAACUGUCUUAAAAACAGUAGGGUGCUAUGCCUCCAGGAAAAUUAUCAAAUGUACAAUUCUGGAUCCAGAUAACGCAAGCACUCACCACUGGGGCGCCACUGCUAGUUGUGACGGGGGCGAGGGGUGUGGUCCUACUGAGAGAUGCGUCUAGUUGAUCUAUCCCUAGUAUGUUAUCAACAAUAUCUUGGUUCUUGAGGCGUGUUUUGGUAGCGGACCGGGCUAGCUGAGGCUUGACUGGGACAGGGGUGUGAAGAUCUGAAGCUGUGAAGAAAUCAAAGUUGAAUAAUGUAAUCGGAAAUGAUAUACCUACAGUAAAACAAUCAAGUGAUAGUUCA